AUGCCGAGAGCCUCGACGAAGAACUCCGAUGAAUUCCUUUCUCCGGAUACGCUGGAACAACCUUCUCCUCGUUUCUUCUUUUCGUCGACCCCGUCGUCCUCUACGACGAUCUACCCAUCAAUCAUCAACCAAUUAAAUUGGCAGUUCCUUCUCAAUCUUAGAUUCCUUUUCAUCUCAGAUGCAAAGAGUAAGAAGGCCACCAUGAGAAGAAAGCACAAAAUCCUGAGAAUUUACAAUUUCUUGCAUCUACCAUGA
rnacentral:rRNA from 1 species